rnacentral:rRNA from 1 species
UGGGGAAUAUUGCGCAAUGGGCGAAAGCCUGACGCAGCAACGCCGCGUGAGCGAUGAAGGCCUUCGGGUUGUAAAGCUCUUUCGGUUGGGAAGAAGGGUGAUGACGCGAACAGUGUUGUCAUUUGAUGGUACCAAAAGAAGAAGCACCGGCUAACUUCGUGCCAGCAGCCGCGGUAAUACGAAGGGUGCGAGCGUUGUUCGGAAUUACUGGGCGUAAAGGGUUCGUAGGCGGGACUUUAAGUCAAGUGUGAAAUCCCCAAGCUCAACUUGGGACGUGCACCUGAAACUGAAGUUCUUGAGUACUGGAGAGGGUGGUGGAAUUGCUGGUGUAGGAGUGACAUCCGUAGAGAUCAGCAGGAACAUCAGAGGCGAAGGCGACCACCUGGCCAGACACUGACGC